GUGCCAGCAGCCGCGGUAAUACGUAGGGUGCGAGCGUUGUCCGGAAUUACUGGGCGUAAAGAGCUCGUAGGUGGUUUGUCGCGUCGUCUGUGAAAUCCCGGGGCUUAACUUCGGGCGUGCAGGCGAUACGGGCAUAACUAGAGUGCUGUAGGGGAGACUGGAAUUCCUGGUGUAGCGGUGAAAUGCGCAGAUAUCGAGAGGAACAGCGAUGGCGAAAGCAGGUCUCUGGGCAUGUUACUGACGCUGAAGAGCGAGAGCGAUGGAUAACGAACAGGAUUACAGGCCCUGCUAGUCC
rnacentral:rRNA from 1 species